CCCUUAGAAGUUCUGGGCUACACGCGUGUUACACUGAUAUGUUCAACAAGUUAAAAUAUUCCUUGCCCGACGGGGCUGGGUAAUCUUUUAAAAGCAUGUCGUGAUGGGGAUAGAGCAUUGUAAUUAUUGCUCUUGAACGAGGAAUUCCUAGUAAGUGCAAGUCAUUAACUUGCGCUGAUUACGUCCCUGCCCUUUGUACACACCGCCCGUCGCUCCUACCGAUGAAUGGUCCGGUGAGGCUUUGGGAUCUGAGCGGAAAGAGCGUUUCGCUGUUUCUGCUCGGAAAACUCAGUCGAACCUUAUCAUUUAGAGGAAGGAGAAGUCGUAACA
rnacentral:rRNA from 1 species